AGUGAACGCUGGCGGUAGGCCUAACACAUGCAAGUCGAACGGCAGCACAGUAAGAGCUUGCUCUUACGGGUGGCGAGUGGCGGACGGGUGAGGAAUACAUCGGACUCUACUUUUUCGUGGGGGAUAACGUAGGGAAACUUACGCUAAUACCGCAUACGACCUACGGGUGAAAGCAGGGGAUCUUCGGACCUUGCGCGAUUGAAUGAGCCGAUGUCGGAUUAGCUAGUUGGCGGGGUAACGGCCAACCAAGGCGACGAUCCGUAGCUGGUCUGAGAGGAUGAUCGGCCACACUGGAACUGAGACACGGUCCAGACUCCUACGGGAGGCAGCAGUGGGGAAUAUUGGACAAUGGGCGCAAGCCUGAUCCAGCCAUACCGCGUGGGUGAAGAAGGCCUUCGGGUUGUAAAGACCUUUUGUUGGGAAAGAAAAGCAGCAGGUUAAUACCCCGCUGUUCUGACGGUACCCAAAGAAUAAGCACCGGCUAACUUCGUG
rnacentral:rRNA from 1 species